rnacentral:rRNA from 1 species
GAUGAACGCUGGCGGCGUGCCUAAUACAUGCAAGUCGAACGAACAGACGAGGAGCUUGCUCCUCUGACGUUAGCGGCGGACGGGUGAGUAACACGUGGAUAACCUACCUAUAAGACUGGGAUAACUUCGGGAAACCGGAGCUAAUACCGGAUAAUAUAUUGAACCGCAUGGUUCAAUAGUGAAAGACGGUUUUGCUGUCACUUAUAGAUGGAUCCGCGCCGCAUUAGCUAGUUGGUAAGGUAACGGCUUACCAAGGCAACGAUGCGUAGCCGACCUGAGAGGGUGAUCGGCCACACUGGAACUGAGACACGGCCCAGACUCCUACGGGAGGCAGCAGUAGGGAAUCUUCCGCAAUGGGCGAAAGCUUGACGGAGCAACGCCGCGUGAGUGAUGAAGGUCUUCGGAUCGUAAAACUCUGUUAUUAGGGAAGAACAAAUGUGUAAGUAACUAUGCACGUCUUGACGGUACCUAAUCAGAAAGCCACGGCUAACUACGU